UUAAGCAUAUCAAUAAGCGGAGGAAAAGAAACCAACCGGGAUUGCCUUAGUAACGGCGAGUGAAGCGGCAAAAGCUCAAAUUUGAAAUCUGGCGUCUUCGACGUCCGAGUUGUAAUUUGAAGAAGGUAACUUUGUAGCUGGUCCUUGUCUAUGUUCCUUGGAACAGGACGUCAUAGAGGGUGAGAAUCCCGUGUGGCGAGGAUCCCAGUUAUUUGUAAAGUGCUUUCGACGAGUCGAGUUGUUUGGGAAUGCAGCUCUAAGUGGGUGGUAAAUUCCAUCUAAAGCUAAAUAUUGGCGAGAGACCGAUAGCGAACAAGUACAGUGAUGGAAAGAUGAAAAGAACUUUGAAAAGAGAGUGAAAAAGUACGUGAAAUUGUUGAAAGGGAAGGGCAUUUGAUCAGACAUGGCGUUUGCUUCGGCUUUCGCUGGGCCAGCAUCAGUUUUAGCGGUUGGAUAAAUCCUCGGGAAUGUGGCUCUGCUUCGGUAGAGUGUUAUAGCCCGUGGGAAUACAGCCAGCUGGGACUGAGGAUUGCGACUUUUGUCAAGGAUGCUGGCGUAAUGGUUAAAUGCCGCCCGUCUUG
rnacentral:rRNA from 1 species